rnacentral:RNase_P_RNA from 1 species
GAGGAAAGUCCGGGCUCUAUUUAUAAAUAUAUAGUUGUAUAAAUUACAGUAUAGGAAACUAUGAGGAUCGUGCCACAGAAAUAUACCGCCUUUUUAUUUAGGUAAGGGUGCAAUGGUUUGGUAAAAGCAAACCAGAAACAUUGUUAAAAUGUUUGCUAGGUAAACCCCAUUUUAGAGCAAAGUGUUGAGCCUAUUUCUCACAGAGAUUUUUUAUAAGAUUGUGAUAUAAGCUUAGUUAGGUUAAAUUCUUUAUACUGCAUAAAGUAUCUUACUACUGUUGAUGAAUGAUUACCCUUUUUAUGCUUGCAAUUAUUUUGUAAAGAACUUAAAAAGAACUAAACCCGGCUUAU